GGACACCUAUGUAUGAAUAUACGCGGGUCCGUCUGUCUCCUUCUCGCUCCUCGUCCUGGGCUUGCUUUCAGCCGGGCUUGCAGGCUGACCUUAGCCGUUAUGAUGCCCCAGAUCUGACUAUUCCCUGCUAAUAACUUUUAUCUGGGAAAUAACAACAAAACAAUACAAUCAUAUCCUUGGGGAAAGAGACGGAUCUUUUUAAAUACUCUGUCUGAUUGCCUUGAUCAGACAGCCAGACUUUAAAACUGCUGGAGAAACCUGGGGAUGUAUUUUAUGGCCAACUAUGUCUUGUCAUGCAUAUCAAAUAAACCC